rnacentral:miRNA from 1 species
AUCUCGGAUGCUAAGCAGGGUUGGGCCUGGUUAGUACUUGGAUGGGAGACCACUGAGAAAGACUAGGUGCAUU